rnacentral:rRNA from 1 species
CCUACGGGGGGCAGCAGUGAGGAAUAUUGGUCAAUGGACGAGAGUCUGAACCAGCCAAGUAGCGUGAAGGAUGACUGCCCUAUGGGUUGUAAACUUCUUUUAUAUGGGAAUAAAAUGUUCCACGUGUGGGAUUUUGUAUGUACCAUAUGAAUAAUGAUCGGCUAACUCCGUGCCAGCAGCCGAGGUAAUACGGAGGAUCCGAGCGUUAUCCGGAUUUAUUGGGUUUAAAGGGAGCGUGGGUGGAUUGUUAAGUCAGUUGUGAAAGUUUGCGGCUACACCGUAAAAUUGCAGUUGAAACUGGUGGUCUUGAGUACAGUAGAGGGGUGAGGAAUGCGGGGUGUAGCGGUGAAAUGCAUAGAUAUAACGAAGAACUCCGAUUGCGAAGGCAGCUUUCUG